AUUGAACGCUGGCGGCAGGCCUAACACAUGCAAGUCGAGCGAGCGGCGGACGGGUGAGUAAUGCCUGGGAAUUACCCAGUCGAGGGGGGUAACCGUUGGAAAAGACUUCUAAUACCACAUACGAUUGUAUUGUCCAGGUGGGAUUAGCUAGUUGGUGAGGUAAUGGCUCACCAAGGCGACGCUCCCUAGCUGGUCUGAGAGGAUGAUGAGCCAGUCUGGAACUGAGACACGGUCCAGACUCCGACGGGAGACAGCAGUGGGGAAUAGUGGACAAUGGGGGAAACCCUGAUGAAGCCAUGCCGCGUGUGUGAAGAAGGCCUUCGGGUUGUAAAGCACUGUCAGCGAGGAGGCGUUACUCGCAGAAGAAGCACCGGCUAACUACGUGCCAGCAGCCGCGGUAAUUC
rnacentral:rRNA from 1 species